UGGUUCCUCGAAUAACUUCUGGCACAGACAUCUGAGGGCAUGGCCGUCCAAGAAGAAAAUGUAGCCAUUGGUGCCAUCUAUCGACCACAGGCAAAGAUUGGAGAUCCGUUAGAUACCGACCGAGUUAUAGGCAAAACUUGGUGCGAAAAUGGGCCUUAGUGGAUUGACAAAUUUAUAGAUUUUUUCAAUUUUUUUCAUUAUUUUUUACCUUUUUUUUAAUUUAAAGCAUUGUUUGAGUGAAAAGGAACUAAUUGCAACAAUUUCGCAUUAAAAUAAAACAAAUUUUUAAAUUUUGCUAAAUUUCUCAAAAAAAUGGCAAGGGGUACCCCUUAUGAAAUUUUCGAGUGGAAAAUUUUUUUGAAAUUUUUUUCUGAUUUUUUAUUCUUUUUUUAAUUUAAAGCAUUAUUUGAGUGAAAAGAAACUUAUUGCAACAUACUCGCAAUAAAAUAUAUCACAUUUAAAAAUUUUGCUGAAUUGCAGAAAAAUGAGGAACAUUUUACAUUUUCUCAAACAGGGUAAGGAACUUGGUUCCUCGAAUAACUUCUGGCACAGACAUCUGAGGGCAUGGCCGUCCAAGAAGAAAAUGUAGCCAUUGGUGCCAUCUAUCGACCACAGGCAAAGAUUGGAGAUCCGUUAGAUACCGACCGAGUUAUAGGCAAAACUUGGUGCGAAAAUGGGCCUUAGUGGAUUGACAAAUUUAUAGAUUUUUUCAAUUUUUUUCAUUAUUUUUUACCUUUUUUUUAAUUUAAAGCAUUGUUUGAGUGAAAAGGAACUAAUUGCAACAAACUCGCAUUCAAAUAAAACAAAUUUUUAAAUUUUGCUAAAUUUCGCAAAAAAAUGGCAAGGGGUACCCCUUAUGAAAUUUUCGAGUGGAAAAUUUUUUUGAAAUUUUUUUCUGAUUUUUUAUUCUUUUUUUAAUUUAAAGCAUUAUUUGAGUGAAAAGAAACUUAUUGCAACAAACUCGCAAUAAAAUAUAUCACAUUUAAAAAUUUUGCUGAAUUGCAGAAAAAUGAGGAACAUUUUACAUUUUCUCAAACAGGGUAAGGAACUUGGUUCCUCGCAUAACUUCUGGCACAGACAUCUGAGGGCAUGGCCGUCCAAGAAGAAAAUGUAGCCAUUGAUGCCAUCUAUCGACCACAGGCAAAAAUUGGAGAUCCGUUAGAUACCGACCGAGUUAUAGGCAAAACUUGGUGCAAAAAUGAGGAAAAUUUUACAUUUUCUCAAACAGGGUAAGGAACUUGGUUCCUCGCAUAACUUCUGGCACAGACAUCUGAGGGCAUGGCCGUCUACGAAGAAAAGGUAGCCAUUGGUGCCAUCUAUCGACCACAGGCAAAGAUUGGAGAUCCGUUAGAUACCGACCGAGUUAUAGGCAAAACUUGGUGCGAAAAUGGGCCUUAGUGGAUUGACAAAUUUAUAGAUUUUUUCAAUUUUUUUCAUUAUUUUUUACCUUUUUUUAAUUUAAAGCAUUGUUUGAGUGAAAAGGAA